CAGCUGUGACACUUGGAGCCAAGCAACCAAUGUCACCAGAGCAGCUGCAGCACAUCAUCUGCUUCCAGUGCAAGCAGCCAGGACACUUUGCCAGAGACUGUCCACACAACCAGAAACAGAAGAAGACCAACAAACAAAAAAACUAGCUUUACAGCGUGUACCCGCCAUUAACACAAUAGCACGCUCGGCUAUAAAUACGGCGGGGUCCACACUCACAAAAGACUCUCUCUU